rnacentral:snRNA from 1 species
UUGGCUUAAACUCAAUGAGUAAGGAAACUAGCGCCCUACCUGACAAGUAGGGUAGUCAUGGGUCGAGCGACCCGUGAUUCCAUUUUUGACGGAGGUGGAAUGGCCGUCUGGUGACUGUCGCCCUACUUUGGCUGACGGCGCCGGCGGUUGGUCCCCGCC